rnacentral:lncRNA from 1 species
GUCAAACUGAUAGAUCGGAAAUAAACUGACAACGCAAUGGCUAAAAAAGAAAAAGACAAACAGACAAAUAAUAGUACACCAACACAACAAAGGGACAGUCAAACUGAUAGAUUGGAAAUAAACAGACAAUGCAAUGGCUAAAAAAGAAAAAGACAAACAGACAAAUAAUAGUACACCAACACAACAAAGGGACAGUCAAACUGAUAGAUCGGAAAUAAACUGACAAUACAAUGGCUAAAAAAGAAAAAGACAAACAGACAAAUAAUAGUACACAAACACAACAAAGGACAGUCAAACUGAUAGAUCGGAAAUAAACUGACAAUGCAAUGGCUAAAAAAGAAAAAGACAAACAGACAAAUAAUAGUACACAAACACAACAAAGGGACAGUCAAACUGAUAGAUCGGAAAUAAACUGACAAUGCAAUGGCUAAAAAAGAAAAAGACAAACAGACAAAUAAUAGUACACAAACACAAC